rnacentral:rRNA from 1 species
UAACUGGAGAGUUUGAUCCUGGCUCAGAACGAACGCUGGCGGCGUGCUUAACACAUGCAAGUCGAACGAGAAAGCACCUUCGGGUGCGAGUAGAGUGGCGCA